UGGGGAAUAUUGCACAAUGGGCGAAAGCCUGAUGCAGCAACGCCGCGUGAGCGAAGAAGGUCUUCGGAUCGUAAAGCUCUGUCCUUGGGGAAGAUAAUGACGGUACCCUUGGAGGAAGCCCCGGCUAACUACGUGCCAGCAGCCGCGGUAAUACGUAGGGGGCAAGCGUUAUCCGGAUUUACUGGGUGUAAAGGGAGCGUAGACGGCAGGGCAAGUCUGAAGUGAAAGGCGGGGGCUCAACCCCCGGACUGCUUUGGAAACUGUCCGGCUGGAGUGCAGGAGAGGUAAGUGGAAUUCCUAGUGUAGCGGUGAAAUGCGUAGAUAUUAGGAGGAACACCAGUGGCGAAGGCGGCUUACUGGACUGUAACUGACGUUGAGGCUCGAAAGCGUGGGGAGCAAACAGGAUUAGAUACCCUGGUAGU
rnacentral:rRNA from 1 species